rnacentral:rRNA from 1 species
AACGGCCGUACCGUGCUGAAUAUACCGGUUCUCGUUAGAUCACCGAAGUUAAGCAGCAUUGGGCGCGGUCAGUACUUGGGUGGGUGACCACCUGGGAACACUGCGUGCCGUU